UUGAGAACCCUAGAGACAGGAGUCUUUUAUUUACAUGCAGAACAGACACAUCAGAGGAAGGAACAGUGCAAGCUUCCCAUGGCAAUGUGCCUCAACCCUGACUUUGGGGGACCAUCUCUAGAGAUGAGACAGGGCAAUUCAGUUCUGUGGCUCAUUAAAUCCUUGGGCUUUC
rnacentral:sRNA from 1 species